rnacentral:rRNA from 1 species
GCUGGUGGCGAUGCGCUUAUGGGAAACACCCGUACACAUCCCGAACACGAUGGU